CUAGCCACUUAGGCAAUGUGACCUCCAGGCCAGUGGGUUGGCUGCCGGGAAAGCACCUGCGUGCGGGCACUGUGCCAACCAUGAGGACGACGGGAUUCUGACUGCUCAGGCCCUGGGGCUCUCCCCCUCACAGAAAUGGGGAUCCAGGUGAUAAGUCUUCUCUACUUCCAUCUCCAUGUUUGAAAGAAGAGGCAAUCUAAUCUAGGGCCUUCCGAGGAUGGAGAAAGCCAUGGCCGCCCUGUGCCAGCACAGAGCCCAGCCGACUGACCGACAAUCUCGACGAGGGAUAAGGUCACCUCUGGCUUGGAAGGCAAUGAAGACACAGAGAAGCAGGGCAGCGUCUCGGUGGCUCGUUCCAGGGAUGAGGGCCAGCCCAGAACCACAGACAGUUUUUGGGUGUGACCACUGCUGCCAGCAGCCCACUGUGCUUCUCAGGACAGCCACUCACAUGCAUGGUGGACCAUUGUGCUUAUAGGAACUGAUCUCGGGGAACUGGGAAUAAACACCAAACCAAGCUCAGA